GAUGAAGAACGUAGCGAAAUGCGAUAAGUAAUGUGAAUUGCAGAAUUCAGUGAAUCAUCGAAUCUUUGAACGCACAUUGCGCCCGCCAGCACUCUGGCGGGCAUGCCUGUUCGAGCGUCAUUUCAACCAUCAAGCCCCCAGGGGCUUGUGCUGGGGCCCUGCGGCUGCCCGCAGGCCCUGAAAACCAGUGGCGGGCUCGCUGUCACACCGGGCGUAGUAGAUUUUAUCUCGCUCAGGGCGUGCUGCGGGUUCCGGCCGUUAAAAAGCCUUUUUUACCCAAGGUUGACCUCGGAUCAGGUAGGAAGACCCGCUGAACUUAAGCAUAUCAAUAAGCGGAGGA
rnacentral:misc_RNA from 1 species